UCUUUUCUUUCUCUUUCAUCUUCUUCUUUCUUCUUCUCUUCCCUUCUUCUAUGUUCUUCGUCUGUUGGCGAUUUUUAGAAUCAGUUCAUGAUUCUGAGUUGAUUUAAAGCUUGUAGAGAUCGAAGGUUAAUUGAUGGUGGUAAUUCUGGUUGAUCUGGUGAAAUCAAACCCAGCAGAGAAGUUAGUCGUUAUUAACAACGAUCGAUUCAAAGGAUGAUCCAGUGGAUUGAACAUCUCGAGGUAGGCGAGAGUUGUCAUCAAAAGAGUUUCAGAGACAGAUUCAAUUCAAGUGGUGCAUGUGGCGAUGAAAGCUUCGAGGAGUUGGUUUCGUUAGUUGGUUUAGCUUCCGCUAUGUUUAUUUUGUGUUUAUAUUCUAUUUGUAAAUCAACUCACUAUUGAAUAUGUAUCAUAUGAGAGGAGUUCUUGUAAUUAUUUCAAAGAGGGUUUAGAUUCGAGUAAAUCUUUGAUUAGAACUUCUUUCUUACUGUUUAAA